rnacentral:rRNA from 1 species
AACGAACGCUGGCGGCAUGCCUUACACAUGCAAGUCGAACGGUAACGGGCCCUCGGGUGCCGACGAGUGGCGAACGGGUGAGUAAUGCAUCGGAACGUACCUUUCAGUGGGGGAUAACGUAGCGAAAGUUACGCUAAUACCGCAUAUUCUGUGAGCAGGAAAGCAGGGGGUCGCAAGACCUUGCACUGAUUGAGCGGCCGGUGUCAGAUUAGCUAGUUGGUGAGGUAAAGGCUCACCAAGGCGACGAUCGGUAGCGGGUCAGCGAGGAUGAUCCGCCACACUGGAACUGAGACACGGUCCAGACUCCUACGGGAGGCAGCAGUGGGGAAUUUUGGACAAUGGGGGCAACCCUGAUCCGGCCAUGCCGCGUGAGUGAAGAAGGCCUUCGGGUUGUAAAGCUCUUUCGGCCGGGAAGAAAUCGUAUGGGUUAAUACCCUGUGCGGAUGACGGUACCGGCAUAAGAAGCACCGGCUAACUACGUGCCAGCAGCCGCCGUAA